rnacentral:rRNA from 1 species
AACGAACGCUGGCGGCGUGGAUAAGACAUGCAAGUCGGACGCUGAUUGCGAGGUAGCAAUAUUUCGCAGUCGGAGUGGCGAAAGGGUGCGUAACACGUGGGUAAUCUGCCGUAAAGACCGGGACAACUUGCUGAAAGGCGAGCUAAUACCGGAUGUGACGGUUGGGAGGCCUCUCCCGAUCUUCGAAGCUGGGGACCGCAAGGCCUGGCACUUUACGAUGAGCCCGCGGCCUAUCAGGUAGUUGGCGGGGUAACGGCCCACCAAGCCUUAGACGGGUAGCUGGUCUGAGAGGACGACCAGCCACACUGGAACUGAGACACGGUCCAGACACCUACGGGAGGCUG